UACGAAGGUCCCGAGCGUUGUCCGGACUUACUGGGCGUAAAGGGUCCGUAGGCGGCCUGCUGCGUCGCUGCUGAAAGCGCCCCGCUUAACGGGGCGAGGCGUGGCGAUACGAGCAGGCUUGAGGAAGGCAGAGGGUGGCGGAAUUCCGGGUGUAGUGGUGAAAUGCGUAGAGAUCCGGAGGAACGCCUGUGGCGCAAGCGGCCACCUGGGCCUUAUCUGACGCUGAGGGACGAAAGCGUGGGGAGCAAACCGG
rnacentral:rRNA from 1 species